GAACAGGACCACAGGUGUCUCUAGAGAGGGAGACUUGGGUGUACUCUGGGAGGUUGAACUGAGAGCUCCCAGGUUCAGGGACGGAGCGCUGCUGAGCCCGUUACAUGAGUUGGCAGCGAGCCUGGGCCACCGAGUGUCCACUUUGGCAGUUCAAGCAUGAAGCCAACAAAGAUAGAUGCAACUGGUUUCGAGAGGACAGAACCCACCUCCCUUGUUUUCUGCCAUCCAUUAUAUUUUGUGGCCAUUUAUGAAAGUUGCAGUGUCUGAAGACAUGCCUAUGUCAACUUGAGAAUCCUACAGAUCCAACAUCUGAAAAAAGGACCAAUCCGUGGACAGGGUCUUGCUGUCGCCCAGCUGGUCUCGAACUCUUGGGCUCAAGCAAUCUGCCUGCUUCGGCAUUCUAAAAUACUGGGAUUACAGCUCAAACUUUGGAACAAAUACCGAAUUUCCAACAUUCCAUCACUAAUAUUCCUCGACGCCACCACUGGGAAGGUUGUGUGCAGGAACGGGCUGCUGGUGAUCCGAGAUGACCCAGAAGGUCUGGAGUUCCCCUGGGGACCGAAACCCUUCAGGGAAGUCAUUGCAGGGCCCUUGCUUAGAAACAAUGGGCAGUCUCUGGAGAGCAGCAGCCUGGAGGGGUCUCACGUGGGCGUCUAUU
rnacentral:sRNA from 1 species